ACUGCCACAGGGAUAAGAAUGCCGGAAACUUCUCCAUUGAAGCAUCUAUAGAGGACCCAGAAGGACCAUUCAUGAAGGUGUUGCAGGCCCAGGAGAGCACCAGUACCAAUCAUCAAUCUCAAUAUUGAACCAGAAAGGGGCCAUUCAGAAAAAGAUGAUCUUAGUUCUUCAGGCUUUCAUGAAUGAACAAUUCGACUUUAACGAUAAAAACGAUGUUAUUAGUGCCCUAAAUUACAUACUGCCAUAUUUCUCAGGGGGAAAUCUGGAAGAUGUAAUAUCAACAUACCGUUCAUUAAACUGCUGUUUUCUAGUGUACAAAAUGCAGAUAAUUCACUGGGACCCUACAAAAAUGAUUCAAGGAGACUUGUUCUUAACCCUGUACCAAAGGUGAGUAAAUUGGCUUACAAAAAUAAACCGAAUAAGCUUUGUUUUCUAGAGAGUUUGUUAGAUGCAGAAAUGGAUGCGAUUAGAAAGAAAGAAAACUGUCAUGCUUAUGCAGCAGUCUAACUGCUUGGCUCCCCGAAUUUAAAUGGUGAAGAGUUGAAAAGAGAUGGGAGCUGCCCACACAGAGGAAGACAGUCUUGCAGAGGCUGAGAAGCAGAGAAAGGGCUCCACAGGAUGGACAGUGCUCAAGGGGACAGGAAGCAUACAGAAAAGGCACUUCAAGGAAGUGAGUGGCAAGAGCCUGUGGAGUAAGCAGAGCAUCCAGACAUCUGUGGAGAACAUCACCAAAGAUGGGCAGCUCAGGGGCCCACCCAUCACAGAGCUGCAGCAGUUCAGUAUGGAGCAGAAGCCCAGCAAGUUAGGGGCAAGUUCCUUCCAGUCAGAGCCGGUGCUCCCAAAGGAACCCGGGGAGGCAAUGUCUUCUUCCCCAGAACCAUCCCUGGUGGACAAAGCUCCCACUACAAAUUCCCUACCUGAGUUCAUAGACAGACGAAAAGACUUGUCUUACACCAUUUUUGUUUUAGAAAGGGCAAAUGCCAAUGUGAAAAGAAUGAUGGGGUCUAACCCUAGUCUGAAAAGAGACAUUAAAACCUUAAGAAGAAAAAAAUCUCAUUUCCAGUUGAUUACGAAGAGUCCACCAUCCUCUGCUGUGAGAAGCCUGGUAAAUUCCCCUGCAUGAGAGGUCUUUUCAUCUGCAGGAGACAUGAGUUACAUAGAAAAGCCUUUUCCAGAAUCAUAUGCUGCUUCAGAACCUCCUGCAGAAAAACCUCUUGAAGAAAACCAGAUGCAACAGAUAAUAGUGAAGAAAACAUCCUCAAACCAACUAUCAUUGUACCUGAAGAAACUGCAUCAGAAAAUACACCCCCCUGAGAAUCCUGCUGUAGAAUCUAAUGUGCCUCCAUCUGAUUUAAUUCCAACUGUUCAAAAAACCAGAAAGCCACAGUUAGACUUCAUCUUGGGGUCUGACUCACACGACCACUUCAGAGAAUUUGCUUACCCACUGCUGAUGUCACAGGGUUAAUACUUUGAAUCUCAGAACAGCCUCCUGUGAAGCUUCUCAGCGAGCAAGAAUUCAAGGACUGACUGGGAUACAGACCCGUGAAAAACUGAGAACUACAUCAGUGGUAGCACAGAAGCCCCAGGCGAACAGAAGGGUCCGGAACCAAAUCAGCCUUGGAUUCCUGCAAUUCCCAAGCAAACCAGCCUGGCCCGGAACUCGCAGUCCCUGCUUCCCAGUACUGGGAUUAAAUAUGUUUGCUACCAUACCUAGCUUCCAUUGUGUUUCUAAGUUUAGAGACUGAAGCAGACCUAAAACACUGAAUAUAAUAAUAAA